UAUCACCUGCUGUUUUAUGUAGCUGGCCCAAUUGGGACCAAUAAUUCUGAUUUCUCCAUCUUGUCUCUCUAGAAGGAAGUCCCUUCCCAUAGCCAGCCACUGCCAUGCAUGUGGAGUGACGGCAGAGGCCCAUGUGGCCUGUGUGCACUGUGAUGUUCUCUGCAUCAACAUGGACAGAACGUGUGGGAAAAGUAAGAAAAAGAAUGCAAUGUACACCAUAAUGCCCUUUAUGUAAAUUAAAGCACAUACACAUACAAAACAGCCCAAUAUGUUAUGUAAAAAAAUCCAUGAUUAUUUGGUUAUUUGAGGACUUGUAUAAAACACCUUACACUGGGUCUGGGGGUAGAAGCAGGGGGAUAGCCAGGAAAUCAGGGGUAAAAGGGAAAACAAUACAGCAGGAGAGGAGCCUUGAACAGAUUAUACUGAUAAAUGCAAUUGAUUAAAUCUGUCUGUGAGGUCCCCAAAGUAAACAGAAGCAAGAAAUCAUUUGGCAAAGCAAAUAGCCUCUUGUACUGUACAGAGGGUGAUCUUUAAAUGCUGGCCCUAAGCUUAAGGCAGAGAAGUUUCAUGAUGGGAAACCAGGUCAGGAAAGAUAGAAGCAGAAUGGAGGAGAAAAGAAAGAAAGAAAGAGAAGAAGAAAGAAAGAAGGAAGGAAGGAAGGAGGGAGGGAAGGAGAGGCAAAGAGAAAGAGAGAGACACAAAGAGAAGAGAGAAGAAAGGAAGAAAGAAGAAAGAAAGAAAGGAAGAAAGAAAGAAAGAAAGAAAGAAAGAAAGAAAGAAAGAAAGAAAGAAAGAAAGAAAAGAAAAGAAGAAAAUACACAGAGAGGCAGAGAAACAGUAGGAAAGAGGGAAGGAGGAAGGAAGGAAGGAGGGAAGGAAUGAAGGAAGGGAGGGAGGGAGGGAAGGAGGGAAGGGAAGGGAAGGGAAGGAAGGAAGGGAAGGAAGGAAGAUGACCAACCUAAGUGAACUCUGGGAACAACGGUGAAUGUUUGUGUUUAUAUAAACAUGUUACUUUAAGAUGGUUGACUCCUUACAGACAAAGGCCAUAUUUUCAUCACUUCCUAUAAAACCUCUCUACAAUACCCAACAAAGUGAGAGGUCCUUGGUGUUCCCAAAGCAUUUAAGAGAUAACAACAGUAAUGUCCAUGUGAGAUCCUCGCGCUGGUGUGUGGUUUCUGAAGUGCAUCCUGCAAUGUGAAAUGGUAGCUGCUAUUCGGUGUUGAUAACCUCAGUUCACUGUGGAUCCCAUCCGACAACGCGUGAAGUCAAGAAAAGCCAACUGUGACCCCACUGAGGGGGAAGCAUCUAGUCUCUGCUUCCUGAACAGACUGUUCCAAAAACGGGGCUGUUGUUUCAGUUACUUACAGUAAUAAAACCACCGCGACCCCAUAUCCAUCUUUCCACAUUCCCCACCUCCCAUCCUACCCAAGGUCAUGAAUAUCAAACUUGGAAAGGAAAAGAAUGAAGGACGUCUCCCCCAGCAAUUAAAAUUAAGUCCUUUUUCUUGCCUCCAACUAAAAUCUUGGACGUGAUGGCAGUUGCAUUUAGCGGGAUCCCAAAUGCUGCUUUUAUAUGCCAGCAUUCCAUUCGGGGGGCUGAUUUGUAGGUUUAAAAAUAUGCAAUGUAUGAAAGAGAGGCUCAUUUAUUUAUUUCCUCCCUUGACUGACCUUGGGCCUUGAUUUAUCUCAAAACCAAGAGAAUUUUCCUCUUGGUAAAGGAGGACUAAUUCUUUCAGUGAGUCCUUGAUAGUUUCUGCCAUCAAAAACAAACCAUAAGCUGAAUGUACAGAAAUGCCCUGCAUUUAAGAAAGAUGACAUGGGGAGUAGUAAAAGCAGGAGGAAGAGAAGUGUGAGAAGAAAAAGAAGCAGGGAAAAUCAGGGGGAAAGUGAUGUUGAACAAAUCAUGCACAUUUCAAGAUUUUUAAAAAAGCAAUGCGUUUGGGGAUGGAUAGCUGUCACCCUUGCCACCUUGGAGGAAAGUUUUGCUGGCUAACUGGCUAUUGUCAAGCAGGCCGGGCUGGUGGCCUCGGCGGGCUGGCUGACCUUCCCCUGACUCCAAGAGGAAAGAAAUAGUGAGGCUCUGUGUCCUGCGAGUCGGGCCUUCCUGUGACCUGAGUGCAACGUCUCAGCCCCUCUCCGACAACCCUCCAGCAAAGCUUGCUGGAGCUCUUGGUUUAUUUUUUCAGGUGAGUGAACGCCGUAUCAAAUACUGGUUUCUCAGUUGCUUUUAAUUAGGCUUCUGGGUUCCACUCUUUCAUCUCGCCUGAAAUCUGCAUCACUUUUCUCCAGCUAUUUCAGGUUCUAAAGCCACGGGUUUGCUUUCAUUCAGCUAAUUGAAGGCACACAGGAAAGGAGAAGGGGGAUAAUCCCAAUCAUUGGACAUUUUUUAGGGCUGUGAUAAACCACACAUUUUUUAGCAACAGAAAACCACUUUCAAAACGUUAACUCUGCGGCCUCUGCUCAGGGGCUGGAGGGCCUACCCCUGAGGCUUCAAGGUUCAUGUCAUGUGGGAUUCUCUGAGACUCCUCGAUGCAGGUAGAGAGCAGGAGGGCAGGUGAGAUGCCGUGAUGUGACGGAACAGGCCCCAUCACUGUCCCUUUCUGGUGUCGAGCUACUGGGAACAUCGCUGUUGAACUGUGUAUCUGCAAAGCUCUGGGGUGGAGGCCCAGCCACACACAACAUCGGAGAACAGAGCUGAUGCUGAUGUCCCCUGAAGUGUCAGCCAGCAGCCAGGUGCUUGCUUAAUCCCAGAAAGGGCAGUAUAUAUUUUUCAGUAAAAUUUUAUUAAAUCCUAAUAGCAGAUCUUUUUUUGUGGAGCAAAAAACUCUUGAAAACUAUAUUCAUGAGGUAUGUAUAAUUUGUUGGUUUUACCAAGGCUUUUUAGUAAACAAGCUU
rnacentral:lncRNA from 1 species